UACGUAGGGGGCAAGCGUUGUCCGGAAUCAUUGGGCGUAAAGAGCGUGUAGGCGGUCCGGUCAGUCGGUUGUGAAAGUCAAGGGCUCAACCCUUGAAUGCCGGCCGAUACUGCCGGGCCUAGAGUCCGGAAGAGGUGAGUGGGAAUUCCUGGUGUAGCGGUGAAAUGCGCAGAUAUCAGGAGGAACACCGAUGGCGAAGGCAGCUCACUGGGACGGUACUGACGCUGAGACGCGAAAGCGUGGGGAGCGAACAGG
rnacentral:rRNA from 1 species